ACUACGGGCGGCUGCAGUGGGGAAUAUUGCGCAAUGGGCGAAAGCCUGACGCAGCGACGCCGCGUGAGGGAUGAAGGUCUUCGGAUCGUAAACCUCUGUCAGCAGGGAAGAACGGUCACUGUGCUAAUCAGCAGUGAAUUGACGGUACCUGCAAAGGAAGCACCGGCUAACUCCGUGCCAGCAGCCGCGGUAAUACGGGGGGUGCGAGCGUUAAUCGGAAUUACUGGGCGUAAAGCGCUCGUAGGCGGUAUGUUAAGUCAAGGGUGAAAUCCCCGCGCUCAACGUGGGAACUGCCUUUGAAACUGGCAAACUGGAGUGUGUGAGAGGAUAGUGGAAUUCCAGGUGAAGGAGUGAAAUCCGUAGAUAUCUGGAGGAACAUCAGUGGCGAAGGCGACUAUCUGGCACAUAACUGACGCUGAGGAGCGAAAGCGUGGGUAGCAAACAGGAUUAGAUACCCUAGUAGUC
rnacentral:rRNA from 1 species